AUUCAUAGAUACGCAUACAGGCAUAUUAGACAUGGAUUUUUGCACACUGAUGUUCCCUAAGAGCUCCCUCUCAGUGAAAGAAGAAAAGGAUGUAUGGCGAUUAUUCAUAUAUACAUUGUUGGGUGAAGAAGAAGGUGCUGACUAUUACACACACACACACACACAAAACACACGUUAAGUUUGAUUAGCGACCGUAGUACAAGUGAUCAAAAUGGCAGCAGUGUUUCUAGCGAGAAGCAAGUAUUGGCGGCCAUGCCAAUGAAGCUACCUAUUGGAGACGGGGUUUGGGCCGCUGGGGACUUCAUGCUUGCUCUCUUCAAACUGGGAAGAUGGGACGCCAACCUGCUGUGGAUGCAACUUGGUGGUUUGGGAUGCAGAAUGGAAGAGAAGCCGCCGGGUAGAGAGAGCUGGGGCCAUGGAGAUCUUCAGCUGAUCAGCUGGCCGAGCCAAGGGCAGUAGAAAGAGGCAGAGGAACCAUAAGCGUAGCAGAUUUGAUCUCCUAAGAAGGCUUUGGUCGAUUGCCAUGCAGAUUUCAGCCUGAAGACCUGAAACUCCCACCCGAAGAGCCCACAAGAGACCAGUAUCCAUGAACCACUCGAGCCAACGAAGUGAGGAAAGCCUUCGAAUGAGAGAGGAAAGGAGGCCCGAGGAACAGAAGAACACAUGUAAAGAUAAGCGGAAAAGGCCAAACCUUACUAGUUGAAUUCAAAAUAUGACAGAAGAAUCAUUGAAUGGGGAUGGAGCUGUUACAUGGCUACUCCUUACUUUAUCUACCUCCUAAUGGACGGGUUGUUAAGAUUCAUUAAAUGAGAUGACAUGUGCCACCUUGUUUUCUUAAA
rnacentral:lncRNA from 1 species